rnacentral:rRNA from 1 species
CCUACGGGUGGCAGCAGUAGGGAAUAUUGCUCAAUGGGGGAAACCCUGAAGCAGCAACGCCGCGUGGAGGAUGAAGGUUUUCGGAUUGUAAACUCCUUUUCUCAGGGACGAAGCAAGUGACGGUACCUGAGGAAUAAGCCACGGCUAACUACGUGCCAGCAGCCGCGGUAAUACGUAGGUGGCAAGCGUUAUCCGGAUUUACUGGGUGUAAAGGGCGUGUAGGCGGGACUGCAAGUCAGAUGUGAAAACCACGGGCUCAACCUGUGGCCUGCAUUUGAAACUGUAGUUCUUGAGUACUGGAGAGGCAGACGGAAUUCCUAGUGUAGCGGUGAAAUGCGUAGAUAUUAGGAGGAACACCAGUGGCGAAGGCGGUCUGCUGGACAGCAACUGACGCUGAGGCGCGAAAGCGUGGGGAGCAAACAGGAUUAGAUACCCUAGUAGUC